ensembl:lncRNA
CUCCAGGCAAGAACACUGGAGUGGGUUGCCAUUUCCUUCUCCAGGAGAUCUCCCUGACACAGGGAUUGAACCCAGGUCUCCUACAUUGCAGGCAGAUUCUUUACCAUCUGAGCCAUAAGGGAAGCCUGGAAGAAUUAUUAACAUUUUUCCAAAUCUGUGAUUCUGAAAGGAACAAGUUCCUUUAAAACUCUAUAGGGUGAGCAGAAUACACUAGGGUGGAAAGGCAAAGGACUGAUCUGACUGCCCAUUUCUGCUCAGAGUUCAGUAGUGCUUUCUCUAAGAAGAGGCCACUUUGAGAAAAAGGGACUUGUUCAUCCACUUGCUGGGACCACCAAUAGCAGAGGACCCUUAUCUGUCAGCCCUCUGCCUCAAGGUAAAGAUUCAGCAAUGUCUGCGGAUCAGUCAUUUCUUGGCAUUUCCUCUGAAGCCAUCGCACUGCCUGCCGACCAUAUAUGACGGACUUCUGCAUCCACAGAGACCAACAAACCACACUCUGAGAUCCUUGUUCUGUCGGAGCUGCUUCUGUAGCACUCCCCAGGAGAAUGAAAAGAAACCCAAGGAAGUUGAAAGAUAAGAGGAACAAGAAGAGAGAGAGAGGAGAUUCUGGAGACGUCUCUACCUGUACUGAAGGCCCAGAUAGGAAGACGUCAGGAAAUAAAA